rnacentral:rRNA from 1 species
UACGUAGGGGGCAAGCGUUGUCCGGAAUCAUUGGGCGUAAAGCGCGUGUAGGCGGUUCGGUAAGUCCGCUGUGAAAGUCGGGGGCUCAACCCUCGGAUGCCGGUGGAUACUGUCGAGCUUGAGUACGGAAGAGGCGAGUGGAAUUCCCGGUGUAGCGGUGAAAUGCGCAGAUAUCGGGAGGAACACCUAUGGCGAAGGCAGCUCGCUGGGACGUUACUGACGCUGAGACGCGAAAGCGUGGGGAGCGAACAGG